rnacentral:rRNA from 1 species
GUGGGGAAUUUUGGACAAUGGGGGCAACCCUGAUCCAGCGACGCCGCGUGUGUGAAGAAGGCCUGCGGGUUGUAAAGCACUUUCGUUGGGAACGAAAUAUGCCGACCUAACACGUCGGUAGGCUGACGUUACCCAAACAAGAAGCACCGGCUAACUCUGUGCCAGCAGCCGCGGUAAUACAGAGGGUGCGAGCGUUAAUCGGAAUUACUGGGCGUAAAGCGCACGCAGGCGGCUCUGCAAGUCAGGUGUGAAAUCCCCGGGCUCAACCUGGGAACUGCACCUGGGACUGCAUGGCUAGAGUAUGGAAGAGGAAGGCGGAAUUCCCGGUGUAGCGGUGAAAUGCGUAGAUAUCGGGAGGAACAUCAGUGGCGAAGGCGGCCUUCUGGUCCAAUACUGACGCUCAGGUGCGAAAGCGUGGGGAGCAAACAGGAUUAGAAACCCCAGUAGUCC